rnacentral:lncRNA from 1 species
GAAAUGUUGAGCAGAUCCAGUGUGUAAUUUGCUGGGCAGCUGUGAUUAGAGACCUGACUAAUGUGUGUCCCAGUGCUGGUUCAGAAUAUUAAAAGAAAAAUUUAGCAUAAUACAGAUUGUCUAAAAGAGCUGCUUGUGCUCUCUCAUCCUGUUCCCUCCUUUGGGAGUUAUCCAGGCUCUGCUGAAGGCAUUGCUCACCUUCCUGCUGAUGCUCAGGAUUCAGAGAUGCUCCUGUAGAGUCUCUACAAACAGCUGCAGCACCACGACAAAGAUGAUUCCCCUGACAAGUGGAGGACAGAAGAAGAAAUGGCAGCUGAAGCAGAAAUUCUGAAGAAGUAUUUCCAGGAAAAUUAAAGGUAAUGAUCUGAACAUUGACUUAGUCCUGCAGCACCCAAGCCUUUGCUGAAGCCUCCAGAGGCUUGUUGAAGACAACAGGGCAAGUAUCUAGAAUGAAACAAAAGAAAACAAAGCUCUUAGUUUUGUGUAGUUUCC